ACCAGGAUGGCCGAGUGGUUAAGGCGUUGGACUUAAGAUCCAAUGGACGCAUGUCUAUGUGGUUUGAACCCCGCUCCUGGUA
rnacentral:tRNA from 1 species